CAUAAUGAAAUCCAGAAUCGGGUCAUUUGGGUCUGUUGUUCUAAUGAAGCUUGGGAUGUCCUUCAAUCGGAUACUUUUCAUUCCAGAAAUGGAGUUUUCUUUUGAAGCAGACAUUGCAGACUGGGAGUAGCAUUGCUAAGACUGCGCUGAACAAGGUCUCUUUAAGGUUAAACGUGUUUCUGUUGAUUUGACAACAUACACUCUUUUCGGACAUUCAAAUAUGAGCGAUUCUAUUGUUAUGCAACAAGUCUCCGAGUAUAAACGGAAAACACCAAUCGCUGAGUCACACCGACUAGUUUCUCCUAAGAAUGCAAGGUAUGUUGUAUGUCAACAUGUUUCAAUUUUGGGUUUAACUAGGCCAAAUACAAAGCAGCAACCAGGUAGAAUUUUGAUAAAUUCUAAUUUCUGUAUCCGUGCAUGGCCUUAUGCUAAACCAAAACAUCCAAUCCACUCUCCUUUCUAUGAUCGACUUGGCACUCGUGGGACCGUUCGUUCACCCUUGAAGAAAAAGAGUAGCUGUAAUUUGGUCCAUCUGAUCUGAUAACGUCUAAGUCGUUCAUCCUUUUUCAUGUACUUGGAUUUCAUUGGAUGUAAGAUUAAAGAAAAUGUUUAGCAUGCAUGAUACAUUAUUACAAGUUCCA